rnacentral:rRNA from 1 species
CCUACGGGAGGCAGCAGUAGGGAAUAUUGCUCAAUGGGGGAAACCCUGAAGCAGCAACGCCGCGUGGAGGAUGAAGGUUUUCGGAUUGUAAACUUCUUUCCUCUGUGAAGAUAAUGACGGUAGCAAACGAAUAAGCACCGGCUAACUACGUGCCAGCAGCCGCGGUAAUACGGAGGGUGCGAGCGUUACGCGGAAUCACUGGGGGUAAAGAGUGCGUAGGCGGGUUGGCAAGUCAGAAGUGAAAUCCAAUGGCUUAACCCUAGAACUGCAUUUGAAACUGUCAAUCUAGAGUAAGGUAGAGGUAGGCGGAAUUCUUGGUGUAGGAGUAAAAUCCGUAGAGAUCGAGAGGAAUACUCAUGGCGAAGGCGACUUGCUGGAACUUAACUGACGCUGAGGCACGAAAGCGUGGGGAGCAAACAGGAUUAGAUACCCCUGUAGUC